UAAUCUUAGUGGCGACGGGUGAGUAACGCGUGGGUAACCUGCCUUACACUGGGGGAUAACACUUAGAAAUAGGUGCUAAUACCGCAUAAGCGCACGAAGCCGCAUGGAUUUGUGUGAAAAACUCCGGUGGUGUAAGAUGGACCCGCGUCUGAUUAGCUUGUUGGCGGGGUAACGGCCCACCAAGGCGACGAUCAGUAGCCGGCCUGAGAGGGUGGACGGCCACAUUGGGACUGAGACACGGCCCAAACUCCUACGGGAGGCAGCAG
rnacentral:rRNA from 1 species